rnacentral:rRNA from 1 species
UUACCGGUUUGACUAAUGGAAAGGCCCUUGGGAACAGGUGCUGCAUGGCUGUCGUCAGCUCGUGUCGUGAGAUGUCGGGUUAAGUCCCUUAACGAGCGAAACCCUAUUUUAGUUGCCAGCGUACGGGACUCUAGAAGACUGCCGGUGUUAACCGGAGGAAGGCGGGGAUGACGUCAAGUCCUCAUGGCCUUUAUGCCGGGCUGCACACGUGCUACAAUGGUGGACAACCGGCACCGCGAGGGGAGCAAUCGGAAAACAGCCUCAGUUCGGAUUGUAGGCUGCAACUCGCCUACAUGAAGUUGGAAUUGCUAGUAAUCGCAAUCAGCAUGUGCGGUGAAUAUGUUCCUGAGCCUUGUACACACCGCCCGUCAAGUCACGGAAGCUGGAGACCGAA